rnacentral:rRNA from 1 species
CCUACGGGGGGCAGCAGUGAGGAAUAUUGGUCAAUGGACGAGAGUCUGAACCAGCCAAGUAGCGUGAAGGAUGACUGCCCUAUGGGUUGUAAACUUCUUUUAUAUGGGAAUAAAACGUUCCACGUGUGGGAUUUUGUAUGUACCAUAUGAAUAAGGAUCGGCUAACUCCGUGCCAGCAGCCGCGGUAAUACGGAGGAUCCGAGCGUUAUCCGGAUUUAUUGGGUUUAAAGGGUGCGUAGGUGGAUUGUUAAGUCAGUUGUGAAAGUUUGCGGCUCAACCGUAAAAUUGCAGUUGAAACUGGCAGUCUUGAGUACAGUAGAGGUGGGCGGAAUUCGUGGUGUAGCGGUGAAAUGCUUAGAUAUCACGAAGAACUCCGAUUGCGAAGGCAGUUCACUGGACUGCAACUGACACUGAGGCUCGAAAGUGUGGGUAUCAAACAGGAUUAGAUACCCGUGUAGUC